GUAACAAGGUAGCCUUGAACUGUAACUGCUACCCUUGGAAACAGGGGAUUCUCUUCGGAGACGGUUAUAGAGGUGCUGCAUGGCUGUCGUCAGCUCGUGUCGUGAGAUAUUGGGUUAAGUCCCGCAACGAGCGCAACCCUUGCCCUUAGUUGCCAUCAGGUUAAGCUGGGCACCCUAAGGGAACUGUCGGCGAAAAGCCGGAGGAAGGUGGGGAUGACGUCAAGUCCUCAUGGCCCUUACGUCCCGGGCUACACACGUGCUACAAUGGCUGGUACAAAGGGUCGCCAACCCGCGAGGGGGAGCUAAUCCCAAAAAACCAGCCUUAGUUCGGAUUGCAGUCUGCAGCUCGACUGUAUGAAGGCGGAAUCGCCAGUAAUCGCAGAUCAGCAUGCUGCGGUGAAUACGUUCCCGGGCCUUGUACACACCGCCCGUCACAUCACGAAAGUGGGUUGUACUAGAAAUCGCUGGGCUAACUCGCAAGAGAGGCAGGCGCUUAAGGUAUGAUCCAUGAUUGGGGUGAAGUCGUAACAAGGUAGCC
rnacentral:rRNA from 1 species